GACGAACGCUGGCGGCGUGCCUAAUACAUGCAAGUGGGACGCAAGGAAACACACUGUGCUUGCACACCGUGUUUUCUUGAGUCGCGAACGGGUGAGUAACGCGUAGGUAACCUGCCUAUUAGCGGGGGAUAACUAUUGGAAACGAUAGCUAAUACCGCAUAAUAUUAAUUAUUGCAUGAUAAUUGAUUGAAAGAUGCAAGCGCAUCACUAGUAGAUGGACCUGCGUUGUAUUAGCUAGUUGGUAAGGGAAGAGCUUACCAAGGCGCCGAGAGAUAGCCGACCGGAGAGGGUGAUCGGCCACACUGGGACGGGGACACGGCCCAGACUCCUACGGGAGGCAGCAGUAGGGAAUCUUCGGCAAUGGACGAAAGUCUGACCGAGCAACGCCGCGGGAGUGAAGAAGGUUUUCGGAUCGUAAAGCUCUGUUGUGAGUCAAGAACGUGUGUGAGAGUGGAAAGUUCACACAGUGACGGUAGCUUACCAGAAAGAGACGGCUAACUACGUG
rnacentral:rRNA from 1 species